rnacentral:rRNA from 1 species
AGAGUUUGAUCCUGGCUCAGAUUGAACGCUGGCGGCAGGCUUAACACAUGCAAGUCGAGCGGAAACGAUCCUAGCUUGCUAGGAGGCGUCGAGCGGCGGACGGGUGAGUAAUGCAUGGGAAUCUGCCCGAUAGUGGGGGACAACCUGGGGAAACUCAGGCUAAUACCGCAUACGUCCUACGGGAGAAAGCAGGGGAUCUUCGGACCUUGCGCUAUCGGAUGAGCCCAUGUCGGAUUAGCUUGUUGGUGAGGUAAUGGCUCACCAAGGCGACGAUCCGUAGCUGGUCUGAGAGGAUGAUCAGCCACACUGGGACUGAGACACGGCCCAGACUCCUACGGGAGGCAGCAGUGGGGAAUAUUGGACAAUGGGCGAAAGCCUGAUCCAGCCAUGCCGCGUGUGUGAAGAAGGCCUUCGGGUUGUAAAGCACUUUCAGCGAGGAAGAACGCCUUGGGAUUAAUACUCCCGAGGGAAGACAUCACUCGCAGAAGAAGCACCGGCUAACUCCGUGCCAGCAGCCGCGGUAAUACGGAGGGUGCGAGCGUUAAUCGGAAUUACUGGGCGUAAAGCGCGCGUAGGCGGUUCGAUAAGUCGGGUGUGAAA